CCGCACAAGCAGCGGAGCGUGUGUUUAAUUCGAUGCAACGCGAAGAACCUUACCAAGGCUUGACAUGUUAGAAGUAGAAACUACGAAAGAGCAACGACCCGUAUCCAGUCAGGAGCUUUCACAGGUGCCGCAUGGUUGUCGUCAGCUCGUGCCGUGAGGUGUUAGGUUAAGUCCUGCAACGAGCGCAACCCUCGUCGCUAGUUAAUUUCUCUAGCGAUACUGCCCGUAAAACGUGGAGGAAGGUGGGGAUGACGUCAAAUCAGCAUGGCCUUUAUGUCUUGGGCUACACACACGCUACAAUGGAUGGUACAAAGGGUUGCCAAAGAGCGAUCUGGAGCUAAUCCCAAAAACCAUUCGUAGUCCGGAUCGCAGUCUGCAACUCGACUGCGUGAAGUCGGAAUCGCUAGUAAUCGUGGAUCAGAAUGUCACGGUGAAUACGUUCCCGGGUCUU
rnacentral:rRNA from 1 species